UACGUAGGGUGCAAGCGUUGUCCGGAAUUAUUGGGCGUAAAGAGCUCGUAGGCGGUUUGUCGCGUCUGCUGUGAAAACCCGAGGCUCAACCUCGGGCCUGCAGUGGGUACGGGCGGGCUAGAGUUCGGUAGGGGAGACUGGAAUUCCUGGUGUAGCGGUGAAAUGCGCAGAUAUCAGGAGGAACACCGGUGGCGAAGGCGGGUCUCUGGGCCGAUACUGACGCUGAGACGCGAAAGCGUGGGGAGCGAACAGG
rnacentral:rRNA from 1 species